rnacentral:rRNA from 1 species
UACAGAGGGUGCGAGCGUUAAUCGGAAUUACUGGGCGUAAAGCGUGCGUAGACGGUUAUUUAAGUCGGGUGUGAAAGCCCCGGGCUCAACCUGGGAAUUGCAUUCGAGACUGAAUAGCUAGGGUACGGUAGAGGGAAGUGGAAUUUCCGGUGUAGCGGUGAAAUGCGUAGAUAUCGGAAGGAACAUCAGUGGCGAAAGCGGCUCUCUGGAACGGUACUGACGCUGAGACGCGAAAGCGUGGGGAGCAAACAGG